rnacentral:lncRNA from 1 species
CAACUCAACAGCUCCCCUUCGGCCGCCAUCUUAGAGCGCCUCGUAGGGAAAGGACCCGCCGCUUCAUCGUCUCGCUGCCGGGCGGGCUGGCCCUCAUGGCGUUGGCCAAUCAGCGUGGCGGCGCGCGGGAGCUGAUGCUGUGAUCCAGCCAAUGGCUGCACGGCUCGAGCGGCUGCUGGAGGCGCUGCGGGUGGCCAUCUUGUGGUGGGCUGCAGCAUGGCGGCGAAGGCGUGCAGGGGGGUUCGAGGCAUUCGGUCGUGUUCGCCCCGCUUUGUUCGCCUUUACCUUGGGGUGACGAAGUCUGUCUGAGGCCUUUCAGCACCGACUCUCACUCUUUGCUAAGACAUGGGCAGAAAGGUUUUUAUCUCCCAUUGGUGUCACCCAGAGCCCAGUCAUGGAGGUUGCCCUAGAAGGAAUAAUCUUACUUCACAGCUCAGCCACCAAUACUUAGAAGAACUGCUGAGAAAAAAGCCUGUGCAGAACUUCUCAUGUAGUACCGAGAAACAAGUUAAACCGGGGUUUAGCAGAGCUUACCAUCUCGAGACAUCCCCACAGCAAGGCAUUUCUGUAAUCGACAGUGUUGGCAGCGGUUUCUACUGGUUCGGUCAAUCAAACAGUUCUUCUGACGAGGACAGGAGUAUGUAGCAUUGCUUUGCUGACUCCUUCUGAAAAAGCCCUGUGAUUGCAUUGCAAAAUACAAGUCAAGAAGCUGUUAACUAAUGGAGUGAAUAAAAACUCUGAGAGGUAGCAUACCUAACUGAAAAUGAA